rnacentral:rRNA from 1 species
AGCAGCCGCGGUAAUUCCAGCUCCAAUAGCGUAUAUUAAAGUUGUUGCAGUUAAAAAGCUCGUAGUUGAAUUUCGGGAUCAAUACGUCGGUCGUGCUUCGGUACGUACUGGCGUCAUUGGUUUCUCCCUUCUGACGAACCAUGAUGUCAUUAACUUGGUGUCAUGGGAAAUCAGGACUGUUACUUUGAAAAAAUUAGAGUGUUUAAAGCAGGCUCACGCUUGAAUACAUUAGCAUGGAAUAAUGAAAUAGGACGUUCGAUCCUAUUUUGUUGGUUUCUAGGAUCAACGUAAUGAUUAAUAGGGAUAGUUGGGGGCAUUAGUAUUCAAUUGUCAGAGGUGAAAUUCUUGGAUUUAUUGAAGACUAACUACUGCGAAAGCAUUUGCCAAGGAUGUUUUCAUUAAUCAAGUAACGAAAGUUAGGGGAUCGAAGACGAUCAGAUACCGUCGUAGUCUUAACCAUAAACUAUGCCGACUAGGGAUCGGAUGAUGUAAUUUUUAAUGACUCAUUCGGCGCCUUAAC